rnacentral:rRNA from 1 species
GGCUCAGAUUGAACGCUGGCGGAAUGCUUUACACAUGCAAGUCGAGCGGCAGCGCGGGGCAACCUGGCGGCGAGCGGCGAACGGGUGAGUAAUGCAUCGGAACAUGUCCAUGUCGUGGGGGAUAGCCCGGCGAAAGCCGGAUUAAUACCGCAUACGCCCGAGAGGGGAAAGUGGGGGACCGCAAGGCCUCACGCGAUUGGGUUGGCCGAUGUCCGAUUAGCUAGUUGGUGGGGUAAAGGCUUACCAAGGCGAUGAUCGGUAGCUGGUCUGAGAGGAUGAUCAGCCACACUGGGACUGAGACACGGCCCAGACUCCUACGGGAGGCAGCAGUGGGGAAUUUUGGACAAUGGGGGCAACCCUGAUCCAGCCAUUCCGCGUGAGUGAAGAAGGCCUUCGGGUUGUAAAGCUCUUUUGUCCGGAACGAAACGGUUACGGUGAAUACCCGUGACUACUGACGGUACCGGAAGAAUAAGCACCGGCUAACUACGUGCCAGCAGCCGCGGUAAUACGUAGGGUGCGAGCGUUAAUCGGAAUUACUGGGCGUAAAGCGUGCGCAGGCGGUUUUGUAAGCCAGAUGUGAAAUCCCCGGGCUUAACCUGGGAAUGGCAUUUGGGACUGCAAGGCUUGAGUUUGGCAGAGGAGACUGGAAUUCCUGGUGUAGCAGUGAAAUGCGUAGAUAUCAGGAGGAAUACCGAUGGCGAAGGCAGGUCUCUGGGCUAGAACUGACGCUCAUGCACGAAAGCGUGGGGAGCAAACAGGAUUAGAUACCCUGGUAGUCCACGCCCUAAACGAUGUCGACUGGUUGUUGGGGGUUUGACACUCUCAGUAACGAAGCUAACGCGUGAAGUCGACCGCCUGGGGAGUACGGCCGNCAGGGUAAAACUC